UUAAGCGACUAAGCGUACACGGUGGAUGCCCUGGCAGUCAGAGGCGAUGAAGGACGUGCUAAUCUGCGAUAAGCGUCGGUAAGGUGAUAUGAACCGUUAUAACCGGCGAUUUCCGAAUGGGGAAACCCAGUGUGUUUCGACACACUAUCAUUAACUGAAUCCAUAGGUUAAUGAGGCGAACCGGGGGAACUGAAACAUCUAAGUACCCCGAGGAAAAGAAAUCAACCGAGAUUCCCCCAGUAGCGGCGAGCGAACGGGGAGCAGCCCAGAGCCUGAAUCAGUGUGUGUGUUAGUGGAAGCGUCUGGAAAGGCGCGCGAUACAGGGUGACAGCCCCGUACACAAAAAUGCACAUGCUGUGAGCUCGAUGAGUAGGGCGGGACACGUGGUAUCCUGUCUGAAUAUGGGGGGACCAUCCUCCAAGGCUAAAUACUCCUGACUGACCGAUAGUGAACCAGUACCGUGAGGGAAAGGCGAAAAGAACCCCGGCGAGGGGAGUGAAAAAGAACCUGAAACCGUGUACGUACAAGCAGUGGGAGCACGCUUAGGCGUGUGACUGCGUACCUUUUGUAUAAUGGGUCAGCGACUUAUAUUCUGUAGCAAGGUUAACCGAAUAGGGGAGCCGAAGGGAAACCGAGUCUUAACUGGGCGUUAAGUUGCAGGGUAUAGACCCGAAACCCGGUGAUCUAGCCAUGGGCAGGUUGAAGGUUGGGUAACACUAACUGGAGGACCGAACCGACUAAUGUUGAAAAAUUAGCGGAUGACUUGUGGCUGGGGGUGAAAGGCCAAUCAAACCGGGAGAUAGCUGGUUCUCCCCGAAAGCUAUUUAGGUAGCGCCUCGUGAAUUCAUCUCCGGGGGUAGAGCACUGUUUCGGCAAGGGGGUCAUCCCGACUUACCAACCCGAUGCAAACUGCGAAUACCGGAGAAUGUUAUCACGGGAGACACACGCGGGUGCUAACGUCCGUCGUGAAGAGGGGAAACAACCCAGACCGCCAGCUAAGGUCCCAAAGUCAUGGUUAAGUGGGAAACGAUGUGGGAAGGCCCAGACAGCCAGGAUGUUGGCUUAGAAGCAGCCAUCAUUUAAAGAAAGCGUAAUAGCUCACUGGUCGAGUCGGCCUGCGCGGAAGAUGUAACGGGGCUAAACCAUGCACCGAAGCUGCGGCAGCGACACUAUGUGUUGUUGGGUAGGGGAGCGUUCUGUAAGCCUGCGAAGGUGUGCUGUGAGGCAUGCUGGAGGUAUCAGAAGUGCGAAUGCUGACAUAAGUAACGAUAAAGCGGGUGAAAAGCCCGCUCGCCGGAAGACCAAGGGUUCCUGUCCAACGUUAAUCGGGGCAGGGUGAGUCGACCCCUAAGGCGAGGCCGAAAGGCGUAGUCGAUGGGAAACAGGUUAAUAUUCCUGUACUUGGUGUUACUGCGAAGGGGGGACGGAGAAGGCUAUGUUGGCCGGGCGACGGUUGUCCCGGUUUAAGCGUGUAGGCUGGUUUUCCAGGCAAAUCCGGAAAAUCAAGGCUGAGGCGUGAUGACGAGGCACUACGGUGCUGAAGCAACAAAUGCCCUGCUUCCAGGAAAAGCCUCUAAGCAUCAGGUAACAUCAAAUCGUACCCCAAACCGACACAGGUGGUCAGGUAGAGAAUACCAAGGCGCUUGAGAGAACUCGGGUGAAGGAACUAGGCAAAAUGGUGCCGUAACUUCGGGAGAAGGCACGCUGAUAUGUAGGUGAGGUCCCUCGCGGAUGGAGCUGAAAUCAGUCGAAGAUACCAGCUGGCUGCAACUGUUUAUUAAAAACACAGCACUGUGCAAACACGAAAGUGGACGUAUACGGUGUGACGCCUGCCCGGUGCCGGAAGGUUAAUUGAUGGGGUUAGCGCAAGCGAAGCUCUUGAUCGAAGCCCCGGUAAACGGCGGCCGUAACUAUAACGGUCCUAAGGUAGCGAAAUUCCUUGUCGGGUAAGUUCCGACCUGCACGAAUGGCGUAAUGAUGGCCAGGCUGUCUCCACCCGAGACUCAGUGAAAUUGAACUCGCUGUGAAGAUGCAGUGUACCCGCGGCAAGACGGAAAGACCCCGUGAACCUUUACUAUAGCUUGACACUGAACAUUGAGCCUUGAUGUGUAGGAUAGGUGGGAGGCUUAGAAGUGUGGACGCCAGUCUGCAUGGAGCCGACCUUGAAAUACCACCCUUUAAUGUUUGAUGUUCUAACGUUGACCCGUAAUCCGGGUUGCGGACAGUGUCUGGUGGGUAGUUUGACUGGGGCGGUCUCCUCCUAAAGAGUAACGGAGGAGCACGAAGGUUGGCUAAUCCUGGUCGGACAUCAGGAGGUUAGUGCAAUGGCAUAAGCCAGCUUGACUGCGAGCGUGACGGCGCGAGCAGGUGCGAAAGCAGGUCAUAGUGAUCCGGUGGUUCUGAAUGGAAGGGCCAUCGCUCAACGGAUAAAAGGUACUCCGGGGAUAACAGGCUGAUACCGCCCAAGAGUUCAUAUCGACGGCGGUGUUUGGCACCUCGAUGUCGGCUCAUCACAUCCUGGGGCUGAAGUAGGUCCCAAGGGUAUGGCUGUUCGCCAUUUAAAGUGGUACGCGAGCUGGGUUUAGAACGUCGUGAGACAGUUCGGUCCCUAUCUGCCGUGGGCGCUGGAGAACUGAGGGGGGCUGCUCCUAGUACGAGAGGACCGGAGUGGACGCAUCACUGGUGUUCGGGUUGUCAUGCCAAUGGCACUGCCCGGUAGCUAAAUGCGGAAGAGAUAAGUGCUGAAAGCAUCUAAGCACGAAACUUGCCCCGAGAUGAGUUCUCCCUGACUCCUUGAGAGUCCUGAAGGAACGUUGAAGACGACGACGUUGAUAGGCCGGGUGUGUAAGCGCAGCGAUGCGUUGAGCUAACCGGUACUAAUGAACCGUGAGGCUUAACCUU
rnacentral:rRNA from 1 species